rnacentral:rRNA from 1 species
CAGAGGGGGCAAGCGUUGUUCGGAAUUACUGGGCGUAAAGGGCGCGUAGGCGGCCUGCUAAGUCGAACGUGAAAUCCCUGGGCUCAACCCAGGAACUGCGUCCGAUACUGGUUGGCUUGAAUCCGGGAGAGGGAUGUGGAAUUCCAGGUGUAGCGGUGAAAUGCGUAGAUAUCUGGAGGAACAUCGGUGGCGAAGGCGACAUCCUGGACCGGUAUUGACGCUGAGGCGCGAAAGCCAGGGGAGCAAACGGGAUUAGAUACCCCGGUAGUCCUGGCCCUAAACGAUGAAUGCUUGGUGUGGUGGGUAUCGAUCCCUACCGUGCCGAAGCUAACGCAUUAAGCAUUCCGCCUGGGGAGUACGGUCGCAAGGCUG